rnacentral:rRNA from 1 species
GGGCUCUGAUGCUAUUGCACCACAUGUGUUUUUCUUUGAAACAAACUUGCUUUGGCGGUGGGCCCAGCCUGCCGCCAGAGGUCUAAACUUACAACCAAUUUUUUAUUAACUUGUCACACCAGAUUAUUACUUAAUAGUCAAAACUUUCAACAACGGAUCUCUUGGUUCUCGCAUCGAUGAAGAACGCAGCGAAAUGCGAUACGUAAUAUGAAUUGCAGAUAUUCGUGAAUCAUCGAAUCUUUGAACGCACAUUGCGCCCUCUGGUAUUCCGGAGGGCAUGCCUGUUUGAGCGUCGUUUCUCCCUCAAACCGCUGGGUUUGGUGUUGAGCAAUACGACUUGGGUUUGCUUGAAAGACGGUAGUGGUAAGGCGGGAUCGCUUUGACAAUGGCUUAGGUCUAACCAAAAACAUUGCUUGCGGCGGUAACGUCCACCACGUAUAUCUUCAAACUUUGACCUCAAAUCAGGUAGGACUACCCGCUGAACUUAAGCAUAUCAAAAACCCGGAGGAA